rnacentral:rRNA from 1 species
GAUGAACGCUAGCUACAGGCUUAACACAUGCAAGUCGAGGGGCAGCGGUAUCGAAAGCUUGCUUUCGGUAGCCGGCGACCGGCGCACGGGUGAGUAACGCGUAUCGAACCUGCCUCAUACUCGGGAAUAGCCUUGCGAAAGUAAGAUUAAUGCCCGGUGUUUUCAGAGUCCCGCAUGAGGCUUUGAACAAAGAUUUAUCGGUAUGAGAUGGCGAUGCGUCCCAUUAGCUUGUUGGCGGGGUAACGGCCCACCAAGGCAUCGAUGGGUAGGGGUUCUGAGAGGAAGGUCCCCCACAUUGGAACUGAGACACGGUCCAAACUCCUACGGGAGGCAGCAGUGAGGAAUAUUGAUCAAUGGGCGGAAGCCUGAACCAGCCAAGUAGCGUGCAGGAAGACGGCCCUCCGGGUUGUAAACUGCUUUUAGUUGGGAAUAAAACGGGGCUCGUGAGCCCCCUUGCAUGUACCAUCAGAAAAAGGACCGGCUAAUUCCGUG